GAUGAACGCUGACAGAAUGCUUAACACAUGCAAGUCAACUUGAACUUCGGUUUGGGUGGCGGACGGGUGAGUAACGCGUAAAGAACUUGCCUCACAGAUAGGGACAACAUUUGGAAACGAAUGCUAAUACCUGAUAUUAUGAUUUUAGGGCAUCCUAGAAUUAUGAAAGCUAUAUGCACUGUGAGAGAGCUUUGCGUCCCAUUAGCUAGUUGGAGAGGUAACGGCUCACCAAGGCGAUGAUGGGUAGCCGGCCUGAGAGGGUGAUCGGCCACAAGGGGACUGAGACACGGCCCUUACUCCUACGGGAGGCAGCAGUGGGGAAUAUUGGACAAUGGACCAAGAGUCUGAUCCAGCAAUUCUGUGUGCACGAUGAAGUUUUUCGGAAUGUAAAGUGCUUUCAGUUGGGAAGAAAAAAAUGACGGUACCAACAGAAGAAGUGACGGCUAAAUACGUGCCAGCAGCCGCGGUAAUACGUAUGUCACAAGCGUUAUCCGGAUUUAUUGGGCGUAAAGCGCGUCUAGGUGGUUAUAUAAGUCUGAUGUGAAAAUGCAGGGCUCAACUCUGUAUUGCGUUGGAAACUGUGUAACUAGAGUACUGGAGAGGUAAGCGGAACUACAAGUGUAGAGGUGAAAUUCGUAGAUAUUUGUAGGAAUGCCGAUGGGGAAGCCAGCUUACUGGACAGAUACUGACGCUGAAGCGCGAAAGCGUGGGUAGCAAACAGG
rnacentral:rRNA from 1 species